rnacentral:rRNA from 1 species
UGCAGUCGAACGGUGAAGCCCAGCUUGCUGGGUGGAUCAGUGGCGAACGGGUGAGUAACACGUGAGCAACCUGCCCCUGACUCUGGGAUAAGCGCUGGAAACGGCGUCUAAUACUGGAUACGAGUAGCGACCGCAUGGUCAGUUACUGGAAAGAUUUAUUGGUUGGGGAUGGGCUCGCGGCCUAUCAGCUUGUUGGUGAGGUAAUGGCUCACCAAGGCGUCGACGGGUAGCCGGCCUGAGAGGGUGACCGGCCACACUGGGACUGAGACACGGCCCAGACUCCUACGGGAGGCAGCAGUGGGGAAUAUUGCACAAUGGGCGCAAGCCUGAUGCAGCAACGCCGCGUGAGGGAUGACGGCCUUCGGGUUGUAAACCUCUUUUAGCAGGGAAGAAGCGAAAGUGACGGUACCUGCAGAAAAAGCGCCGGCUAACUACGUGCCAGCAGCCGCGGUAAUACGUAGGGCGCAAGCGUUAUCCGGAAUUAUUGGGCGUAAAGAGCUCGUAGGCGGUUUGUCGCGUCUGCUGUGAAAUCCGGAGGCUCAACCUCCGGCCUGCAGUGGGUACGGGCAGACUAGAGUGCGGUAGGGGAGAUUGGAAUUCCUGGUGUAGCGGUGGAAUGCGCAGAUAUCAGGAGGAACACCGAUGGCGAAGGCAGAUCUCUGGGCCGUAACUGACGCUGAGGAGCGAAAGGGUGGGGAGCAAACAGGCUUAGAUACCCUGGUAGUCC